rnacentral:rRNA from 1 species
UAGAGUUUGAUCCUGGCUCAGAAUGAACGUUGGCGGCGUGGAUUAGGCAUGCAAGUCGCACGAAUCUCGGAUGGGUAACCGUCCGGGGAAAGUGGCGAAAGGGGCAGUAAGGUGUGGGUAACCUGCCCCGGAGUUUCGGAUAGCCGUUCUAACGAACGGGUAAUACGAAAUGCCGUAGCGGGGGGGGAUCCUCCUGCUACGAAAGCUUCGGCGCUCCGGGAGGGGCUUACAUGAUAUUAGCUAGUUGGGGGGGUAACGGCUCACCAAGGCGAAGAUGUCUAGCGGGUGUGAGAGCACGACCCGCGCCACUGGCACUGUGACACUGGCCAGACUCCUACGGGAGGCUGCAGUCGAGGAUCUUCGGCAAUGGGGGAAACCCUGACCGAGCGACGCCGCGUGUGCGAUGAAGGCCUUCGGGUUGUAAAGCACUGUCGAGGGGGAGAAAGGCCGCGAGGCGUGAUCGACCCCUGGAGGAAGGACGGGCUAAGUUCGUGCCAGCAGCCGCGGUAAGACGAACCGUCCGAACGUUAUUCGGAAUCACUGGGCUUAAAGGGCGCGUAGGCGGGACCGUAAGUCAGGGGUGAAAUCCCACGGCUCAACCGUGGAAGUGCCUUUGAUACUGCGGACCUCGAGGUGGGCAGGGGCGUGCGGAACUUCCGGUGGAGCGGUGAAAUGCGUAGAUAUCGGAAGGAACACCGGUGGCGAAAGCGGCACGCUGGGCCCGUACUGACGCUGAGGCGCGAAAGCCAGGGUAGCAAACGGGAUUAGAUACCCCGGUAGUCCUGGCCCUAAA